rnacentral:rRNA from 1 species
CGGUCUUGCUGUCACUUAUAGAUGGAUCCGCGCUGCAUUAGCUAGUUGGUAAGGUAACGGCUUACCAAGGCAACGAUGCAUAGCCGACCUGAGAGGGUGAUCGGCCACACUGGAACUGAGACACGGUCCAGACUCCUACGGGAGGCAGCAGUAGGGAAUCUUCCGCAAUGGGCGAAAGCCUGACGGAGCAACGCCGCGUGAGUGAUGAAGGUCUUCGGAUCGUAAAACUCUGUUAUUAGGGAAGAACAUAUGUGUAAGUAACUGUGCACAUCUUGACGGUACCUAAUCAGAAAGCCACGGCUAACUACGUGCCAGCAGCCGCGGUAAUACGUAGGUGGCAAGCGUUAUCCGGAAUUAUUGGGCGUAAAGCGCGCGUAGGCGGUUUUUUAAGUCUGAUGUGAAAGCCCACGGCUCAACCGUGGAGGGUCAUUGGAAACUGGAAAACUUGAGUGCAGAAGAGGAAAGUGGAAUUCCAUGUGUAGCGGUGAAAUGCGCAGAGAUAUGGAGGAACACCAGUGGCGAAGGCGACUUUCUGGUCUGUAACUGACGCUGAUGUGCGAAAGCGUGGGGAUCAAACAGGAUUAGAUACCCUGGUAGUCCACGCCGUAAACGAUGAGUGCUAAGUGUUAGGGGGUUUCCGCCCCUUAGUGCUGCAGCUAACGCAUUAAGCACUCCGCCUGGGGAGUACGACCGCAAGGUUGAAACUCAAAGGAAUUGACGGGGACCCGCACAAGCGGUGGAGCAUGUGGUUUAAUUCGAAGCAACGCGAAGAACCUUACCAAAUCUUGACAUCCUUUGACAACUCUAGAGAUAGAGCAUUCCCCUUCGGGGGACAAAGUGACAGGUGGUGCAUGGUUGUCGUCAGCUCGUGUCGUGAGAUGUUGGGUUAAGUCCCGCAACGAGCGCAACCCUUAAGCUUAGUUGCCAUCAUUAAGUUGGGCACUCUAAGUUGACUGCCGGUGACAAACCGGAGGAAGGUGGGGAUGACGUCAAAUCAUCAUGCCCCUUAUGAUUUGGGCUACACACGUGCUACAAUGGACAAUACAAAGGGCAGCGAAACUGCGAGGUCAAGCAAAUCCCAUAAAGUUGUUCUCAGUUCGGAUUGUAGUCUGCAACUCGACUACAUGAAGCUGGAAUCGCUAGUAAUCGUAAAUCAGCAUGCUACGGUGAAUACGUUCCCGGGUCUUGUACACACCGCCCGUCACACCACGAGAGUUUGUAACACCCGAAGCCGGUGGAGUAACCUUUUAGGAGCUAGCCGUCGAAGGUGGGACAAAUGAUUGGGGUGAAGUCGUAACAAGGUAGCCGUAUCGGAAGGU